rnacentral:lncRNA from 1 species
UAUUCUUUCACAGAAAAAAUUAAAUUCUUUACAUUUUCAGUUUCCUAAAGAAUUUAAUUAUUUAACGUUGGAAUCUUUAACUUUUAGUAUUCCUUUUGAUUUCUGUUACAAACCCAAUAAUGUUAAAAAAUUCGGUAGACAAAAAAAUUUCUUACUACCUUCUCUACAAAGAAAAUUAAAAAAAUUUAUUGGUUCAUUUAAAAAGAUAAUUUCUUAAAACACAAAAUCCAUAUUCAUUAUAUGAUUAUCAAUUUAUCAUCUCAACUUUCUAUGUGCUACAAUUCAAAUUAUUUUAUUUGAAAAUAGUAGUGAUCUUAUUUAUUUGUUCGUUUAUUUUUGUAAUGGUUUUAAUAAAAGUCAAAAGGAUAUCUUCUUAACUAAUGCUUUUUAGAUUUUGCUUUUGAAUUCUUUUAAGAUUUUCUUAUUAUUAUUGAAAUUCAAUAAUUAAAGAUGAAAUAUUUUUUUUGAGUUAUUUUAUGUUUCUUUAAAUAUUAAAGUUACAGAAUAAAAAGAAACGUCAUAGAAAAAAUUCAUUUAAGACCCUAAAUAUUCAAAAGCAGACUCUAAAUGUAACAAAAAAAAAAGCUAGGAGCUUGAAGAGCUUCCUUUUUCCUGUAAUAUUUACUGAAGGUAAGGGACCAAGCCCAGAACCCCAAGAUAAAAAAGUUGACAUAUAAAAAGAGAAAGAAAAUUGGAUAUGGGUAUUCGAGAUUGUAGAGCUUUAUGUAAAGGUGCUUUUUGCCGGAAUAAUUUUGCUUGAUUGACGCUUUAUGUUUGUCAUUAAACUAAGACCCCUCUUUCCUCUGGUGACCAUUUCUUUAGAAUUUAUGUGUUUCUUCUCUUCUGUAAUGGAAGCUCCUUCUGUGUGUGUUAUUUUGUCUUUUGCACAAUUGGAAUAUGCGAAGAGAAUCAAGAUUCAAGAUUUGCUUGAAAAUCGAAGACAUUGGUAGUGGGCUUGGGCUCUUAAAUAAUAAAAAAUUGUGAAAUUUGCAUAAGUCGCUAUUCCAUGUGGAUUCAAGGUUCAAAAUUUAUCAGCAUUAUAUUAUAUUAUAUGUGUAGGCAUUAAUAUAAUAUCCCAUUAUAAUAGUUUUAUAUUAUCUGUAAAAGCUAGCCAUUUGGUACGAAGAUAAAAAAAAACGAAAAAAACACAAAAAAAAAAAAAAACGAAACAAAAGGUUGGUGCUUUGGAUUGGCUGUCACGCACGAAUCGUGUCCGAGGGCUUAGGCAUUACAGUAUUCACUUUGGUUUCAUGCAGAAAUGAGACAAUGACAAUGCGUUUAAAAGAAAUGUGUGAAAUACCCAUAAUGCCCUUUUAAAUUCUAUUAAAGAUAAUUAAUACAUUUCAUUUCACUUUCACUGCAAUUUAAGUUUCACUAAACGAUAAUGCUAGAAUUUCAUAGUUGGAAUACAUGAAUUAUAUUCCAACCUAUGUGUCACCAGAUAUGAAUUUAUGACUUGGUUAUCUUUUAGGAGUUAAUGGAAGGAUAAAGUGAUUUUACCAUAAAUAAUUUUUUAAAAUUUACUAAAUUAAAAUUAACUUUUAAUUAGAAUUACUUUGAGUUGUAUGACAGCAGUUCCAAAUGUAUUCCUUAAUGAAAAAAUAAUUUUAACUACUAAAGAAAAAAACUAUUCAUUACACACAUUCUCAAAAUGAUAGUACAAUUACAUAGGGCCAGCUUGGAAUUAAUUUUGAAAGGUAAAACUUAAUUUUGAUGUUUGAUAAAUAUUUUUAGAAGCCACUUUUGGCAAAAUCAUCCCAUCAUACAACAUAAAUUAAA